rnacentral:rRNA from 1 species
CCCAAACCGACACAGGUGAUCAGGUAGAGAAUACCAAGGCGCUUGAGAGAACUCGGGUAAAGGAACUAGGCAAAAUGGUGCCGUAACUUCGGGAGAAGGCACGCUGGUGGUAGGUGAGACCCCUUGCGGGUGGAGCUGACGCCAGUCGAAGAUACCAGGCCCCUGCGACUGUUUAUUAAAAACACAGCACUGUGCAAACACGAAAGUGGACGUAUACGGUGUGACGCCUGCCCGGUGCCGGAAGGUUAAUUGAUGGGGUUAGCGCUUGCGCGAAGCUCUUGAUCGAAGCCCCGGUAAACGGCGGCCGUAACAAUAACGGUCCUAAGGUAGCGAAAUUCCUUGUCGGGUAAGUUCCGACCUGCACGAAUGGCGUAACGAUGGGGGCGCUGUCUCUACCCGAGACUCAGUGAAAUUGAAAUCGCCGUGAAGAUGCGGUGUAUCCGCGGCUAGACGGAAAGACCCCGUGAACCUUUACUAUAGCUUCACAGUGAACUUUGAGCAUGUUUGUGUAGGAUAGCUGGGAGGCUUUGAAGUGGGAACGCCAGUUCUCAUGGAGCCAACCUUGAAAUACCAGCCUGACAUGUUUGAGGUUCUAACUUGGUCCCCUUAUCGGGGAUGAGGACACUGUGUGGUGGGUAGUUUGACUGGGGCGGUCUCCUCCCAAAGCGUAACGGAGGAGCACAAAGGUGGGCUAAGCAUGGUCGGACAUCAUGCGGUUAGUGUAAUGGCACAAGCCCGCUUAACUGCGAGACAGACACGUCGAGCAGGUACGAAAGUAGGUCAUAGUGAUCCGGUGGUUCUGUAUGGAAGGGCCAUCGCUCAACGGAUAAAAGGUACGCCGGGGAUAACAGGCUGAUACUGCCCAAGAGUCCAUAUCGACGGCAGUGUUUGGCACCUCGAUGUCGGCUCAUCUCAUCCUGGGGCUGGAGCAGGUCCCAAGGGUAUGGCUGUUCGCCAUUUAAAGUGGUACGCGAGCUGGGUUUAGAACGUCGUGAGACAGUUCGGUCCCUAUCUGCCGUGGACGUUGGAGAUUUGAGGAAAGCUGCUCCUAGUACGAGAGGACCGGAGUGGACGAACCUCUGGUGUUCCGGUUGUCACGCCAGUGGCAUCGCCGGGUAGCUAAAUACGGACGG